AUGAUCCCUCUUUCUGUUGAGGAAAUUGAGAUGGCCAUUAAUUCUUCCAAUGUCAAUUCGGCCUCGGGCCCGGACGGGUUCUCGAUCCCUUUCUUUAAGUGCUUCUGGCCCUCUCUCCGCUCGCUGGUGUGUAAGAUCAUACAAGGGUUCUGGCUUGGUACCGUUGACAUCUCCCGUCUGAACUAUGUUGUUCUUACCCUCAUCCCCAAGACCAAGGGCGCUGACUCCAUAUCCCAGUUUCACCCCAUCGCUUUGAUUAAUAACUUUGCUAAAUUUCCAGCGAAAGGCAUGGCGACUACGCUAACCCAGGUGGCUCGUCGCAUUAUUAAAGGCAAAUACAUUCUUGACGGUAUCCUUUGUUUACAUGAGAUUGUUCAUGAUCUUAGCCAAAGGGGCUCCAAUGCCUUAACUCUUAAACUCGACUUUGAGAAAGCCUAUGAUUCAGUUAGUUGGGAUUUCCUAUGCCAUGUUCUUCUUGCUAAGGGCUUUGACCCAGGUGUUGUCCAUUGGCUCAUGCCACUGGUUUCUGGUGGCCAUACAAUAGUGGUUGUAAAUGGCUCUGUUAGCAAGUUUUUUGCCAAUGGCCGUGGCCUUCGGCAAGGGGGUCCGACUUCUCCUAUUUUGUUCAAUUUUGUUGCUGAUGCGCUAUCUUGCAUGCUGGACAAGCAGCUUCAGUCGGCCAUAUCUCUCCUGUGA
rnacentral:rRNA from 1 species